UUUAAAAGACAACAACAGGGUCCAAAGCAGGACAUGAAAGAAACAAUCUGGAGGAGGCGGAGAGGCUGAGGAGUAAUUAAGAGAGGAGAUUGUUUUUUACAGAAACACCAGGACGUGCGGCCGUUUCCAGUCUGUUUUCUGGAGAUGCCAAAGUUUAGCGACGCUGCUUCGGGCCCAUUCGGCGAAACGCAAUCACCGCGCCGCUCCAUUCACGGCUCGCAGGACGAGCGGUACAUUCAUUUGGAUUCAGCCGGCGUAAAUCAGAGAGGGAACCGAGCCAGAGAGACGUUCCAUAACCUGCUCCCCUGAGGAUAAAACCCUGAGGAAACUCGAGACGUUUCCCGACACUUUCUGUGCACGGCCGGAAAGAGGACGCUUUCCCUAAUGUCACCGAAGGAAUUUUCCCACAGCUGGAAGGAGAGGACGGCCAAGGGAUUAAUCUCUUUUACAUGUUCAGAAUGUAACAGGAUGAUGCUGAAUCCCAGAGCAUCCACCACCUCAGCGUCCUGGAGGUCACCGACAACCAUGGGCUGUUUUUUGUUCAUACUAAUAAAGUUGCAAGAGCUCAGGGGGAAA